rnacentral:lncRNA from 1 species
UGACAAUUGAGAUGCUGCCCUUACUACUUUAUUUGAAUCUUAACCCAUUACUUUAUAAGCCAUCUAUGAGGAAGGCAAGAUUUAUCAUGCCUUCUGAAGGUGUCUUGACAACAGUGACAUUACAGGCCCUGUUCUCCAGAGCCAGUUGCUGUCUUACUGCUCUUAAAUUCUCAUCACUGAUAGCUAUAAAUUUUCUCUGCAUCUUUUGAUCAGUCCAGGUCCUCAGCUGUUAUCUAGGCCUUUGAUUUCUGGAUCCUGAGGGAGUAUUGAGUCAGAGUAGUGCACUCAGUGCAGCAGUUGCCUUCUUAUUUUGGGAUGGGUGCAGCAAAGAAAGGGGCCCUGGUAGACUUGGAGUGCCUUCACUGAAGAAAUUGCAUUGGGAACUGCGUGGGUCCUGUCAGACACUCAUGAGCUCUCUGCGGAUCUCAGGAGGCUGCUGAAGGUGCCUAAGUGAGCACAGCAUGGCCACACAGUUUCUAUGCCUUGGUGCCAUGCUGCAGGGUGUCCUCUGGGCCCAGGUGCAGUGAAUAAGGAGCAUCAUGGCUGGUAGCGGCUUGGUGGUGGCCAGAAGUGCUGACUGCAUUGUCCUCACUGCUGGCUGCCACAAUGCCACUGCCCUGCCAUUCCAAAUGCCAACCGGAGCCUCCGUCCAGAAGUUACAAGGGUAGAGGCAGAAGGCAUAGCUCAUACUUUGUGUCUUGUGCUACUGGGCAAUGCCUAGGGAAGCGGGCAGCUCAGUGGCUUUGUGGCACCUGGACAUAUCCCAACAUUUCUCCCUAACAAGGCUCUCUUCUUGCCAGCACCACUGCCUAGGGCUGCAGCUGCUGCUGACCUGCUCAGGGCCAGGAGCAGACUGUUGCCACCUUACAUAAAUCUGUUCCCACCACAGGCUCCUGAGAGAGGUUGAGGGGUGACAUCUGAGCCCCUCCAAAACCAAAGCCUCAUGUCCACGCUCGCUAACGUUACCAGUUCUGCAAGUGACUUGCAUCGUGCUGAAGUGUGGACACAUCAGAGGAGAACAACCCAUCUAGCACAGGACAGCUUGGAGGAGUGGUAUUGUGCACCAGAAAUGCGAGAGGAAUUGAAGGUGAGCCCCAGACCUGCCUGUGGUCAGCGCUCUCUGACUUCGGCCACACCGCGCAGAUGGAACAACAUCCCGUGUGCCCAGCCGCUGCAUGGAGCUGCCCAUGAGCUGGCACCCUGACCCAGCAGAGAUGCUGCCAGUGCCAGCUCCACCCUGCUCGCUGCUGCCUGCCCACCUGCCUCCUUCCCCCAAGCCCACACACCACCAACACCUCCAUCUCCGUCGCUUCCCACAGCACAACUGCAACGUGGAACAGCAAGUGUGGCUUGAGCAGGCUGAGCUUGUUAAAAGUGUGGUUAGAUAAAUAGUAGGACUGCAACACUGGGAGGCUGAUUGGUAUCACAAGAUAUCACUGUCGUAUCCUGUGGCUUUUAUGUAGGGAGAUGUAGAUUUUAGCCAUCACCAUCUGGCUAUCCAACAGAUAACAACCAGAGGAAAUGGACUUGCAAAUCUUCAGUUGCGAAUAACUGAUAUAUUGUUGCCAGUAAUUUGAGGACCUGGUAAACUGCCAGAAGGAAAAGUUUUUUGUUUUUUUUUUUGAAUAUGAUCAGACUUUUAAUACAUGUCAGCUUUUGACUAUGUAUAAAUUAAAGAAACUCCCUAAUUAUUCACCAUACAUUUUAAACUGUGUGUCCAGAGAAGUCAGAUCCUGUAAAACCCAGAUGUGGCUGUAUUAUCAGCUCCAAAUUCAGGCAAGUAAAUAAAGUAGCAGAUGUACGACUCA